AGUGGACAGCAACUAUGUGCCAGCAGCUGCGGUAAUACAUAGGUCGCAAGCAUUAUUCGGAUUUAUUGGGCGUAAAGCAAGCGCAGGCGGAUGUGUAAGUUCUGUGUUAAAGGUAGCUACUUAAUAGUUGUUUGCACCGAAUACUACAUGUCUAGAAUGUGGUAGGAAGUUUUGGAAUUAAACAUGGAGCGGUGGAAUGUGUAGAUAUGUUUAAGAACACCGGAGGCGAAGGCGAAAACUUAGGCCAUAAUUGACGCUUAGGCUUGAAAGUGUGGGGAGCAAAUGGGAUUAGAUACCCCAGUAGUCCACACCGUAAACGAUGGGUAUUAGGUAUUGGGGUUUGAGCCUCAGUGCUGUAGCUAACGUGUUAAGUACCCCGCCUGGGUAGUACAUAUGCAAAUAUGAAACUCAAAGGAAUUGACGGGGACCUGAACAAGUGGUGGAGCAUGUUGCUUAAUUCGAUAAUACACGAAAAACCUUACCAAGGUUUGACAUCCUUCGCAAAGCUAUAGAAAUAUAGUAGAGGUUAUCGGAGUGACAGGUGGUGCAUGGCUGUCGUCAGCUCGUGUCUUGAGAUGUUUGGUUAAGUCCCGCAACGAGCGCAACCCUACUCUUUAGUUAUUUUUCUAAAGAGACUGCACAGUAAUGUAGAGGAAGGUUGGGAUCACGUCAAGUCAUCAUGCCCCUUAUGCCUUGGGCUGCAAACGUGCUACAAUGGCAAACACAAUGUGUUGCAGAUCAGCGAUGAUGAGCUAAUCACUAAAUUUUGUCUCAGUUCGGAUAGAAGGCUGCAAUUCGCCUUCUUGAAGUUGGAAUCACUAGUAAUCCCGCAGGAAUAUGGGCCAAGGGCGAAUUCUGCAGAUAUCCAUCACACUGGCGGCCGCUCGAGCAUGCAUCUAGAGGGCCCAAUCGCCCU
rnacentral:rRNA from 1 species